rnacentral:rRNA from 1 species
CCUACGGGUGGCAGCAGUGGGGAAUAUUGGACAAUGGGCGAAAGCCUGAUCCAGCCAUGCCGCGUGUGUGAAGAAGGCCUUCGGGUUGUAAAGCACUUUCAGUGGGGAAGAAAGCCUUGGGGCUAAUACCCUCGAGGAAGGACAUCACCCACAGAAGAAGCACCGGCUAACUCCGUGCCAGCAGCCGCGGUAAUACGGAGGGUGCGAGCGUUAAUCGGAAUUACUGGGCGUAAAGCGCGCGUAGGCGGUCUGAUAAGCCGGUUGUGAAAGCCCCGGGCUCAACCUGGGAACGGCAUCCGGAACUGUCAGGAUAGAGUGCAGGAGAGGAAGGUAGAAUUCCCUGUGGAGCGGUGAAAUGCGUAGAGAUCGGGAGGAAUACCAGUGGCGAAGGCGGCCUUCUGGACUGACACUGACGCUGAGGUGCGAAAGCGUGGGUAGCAAACAGGAUUAGAUACCCUAGUAGUC